rnacentral:lncRNA from 1 species
AUUAAUUCAUUUCUUCACGUAGACUUCUCAUGUUAAGCAAACAAAUCACCAAUUUUCUCUCUAUCUCUUAGUUUUAGAUGCGUAUUUUAGGAUGUAUUGGCCAAAGUUUUCCAUGCAUUUUUGUUUUACUAUUAAUUUAUUUAUUUGUCUUUUUUGUUUAGUGUUUCAUUUAUGGUUUUGACAAUUCCUCCUACAGCCAUAAUUAAAAAAAAUUUAGUAUGAUGUAGGGUUUUUUUUUUUUUUUCUGGUGUAACAUGAGCUGCACAAACUUUUUUUGACAAUUAAAUAUUAUAUAUAUGGUAUUUUAUUUUGGAAUUAUUAUGGAAUAAAUAAGAGAAAAGAAAGGGAAAAAAAAGUUACAAAGGCCAUCAACAUUUUCAAUAAAUUUAAAACAUGGUACACCAUUAAAAAACAUUACAAUUACUAAAGCAAAUGUGCUGUUAAUUAUUUGGAGUUCGCAACUAUGAAAUUAUCUACAUAUUUUUAAUUAGAGAUUAUUAUAUUUAAUAAAAUUUUUUGAAAUGCCAAACUUGCUUUUCAUUAAUUUUGGAUAAUGAAAUCAUAUUAGUAGGCUGCACGUUUCUGAAAGCAUAUAUUUUCAUUAAUUUCUCUCUCAAAAACAACAUCACUGAUCAUCAUCAUGAUUGUGUAGGUUUUGAUCAAACGGCUGAGAGGAAAGCAAUAGUAGGGGAGCUGAAAAGUACAUGACCGUGCAAAAAUCACAAUCGUUCACGUAACAAUUAACUUAUAUCAUCACAGCCGGCAUGACAUGUUAUGGAUAAUCUUAAUGGGAUUUUUUUCCUCUUCCUUGUUAUGUAUAGGUCUGAGAGCUUCUCUCGGAAGCCACGCAACAACGUGAUCAAAACUUCUUCGUUAAGCUUUCAACUUUAACGUAUGGCUAGGGUUUUUCUUUUUCUUUUUUUUUUUUGGACUUUGUCAAUAUGUGUGUCUUUUUGUUUCCCAGAUACUGCCGCCAUACAAAUAAUUGUCCCCUUGCUCAUUUGGCAUCGUCUGUCUGUUCAUACAAUUUCUGGCCAAAAAACGCCCCUAAUUUUCUUUUGGCUGAUGAGAAAUUAAAUAUCCAAGAAACUAAAAGAUCUGAUGGGAAAGUACUUGAAAUCAAACAAGAGAAUGAAUGUUUUUGUUUACCAAAGCUUAAUUAGCAACCCAAGUUUGGGGUUAGGGGAGACAUGGAAAAUAUAAUUAAGAUCAUUUUCAAGCAUUUGAUCCCCACCCCGGAGUCAGGAUUCACACUUUUAUUUCCUGAAAGUGACAGGCCAUUUCAAAGUCGUAUUUUUAUUGAGUCUCCAAUGUCUUCUAUUUUAAAUGGGAAUCAACGACUUCUUUGCAGCUUCUAACUUUUUCACAAAUUGCAUAACACUUACCAUUAACACAGUUGGUAAAGGAGAGAAAUUUUUUCUUCUCAAUCAAAUCAUUGUAUAAUUAUUUCAAAAAUAAAAUUUUCAACAUUUCACCAAUUAGAUGCAAAGGAGUAUAUCUUUAAAAUCAUUUCAAAAAGAUAUUAUGUCAAACAAAAUUUAAAUAUUUACAUGAUCCUUAAAAAUAUAUUUGAUAAUUUGUAUUAUUAUAUUAUAUAAAAUAUUAUAUUCGUAUUGUAUUUUACAUGCAAAGACGGAUCUAAGAAUUCUAAUCAAUGAGAGCAAAUAUUUUAACUUAAUUUAUUAAAUUUUUCAUUGAAAUAUAAAUUAAUAUAAAAACUUUCAAACAAAAUUAACAUGUAUAACAAAUUUUUAUAUCAAAUAUAACUAAAAUAUUUGCAUAACUAAAAUUAACUAUUUGAUUAUUGACAAAUAUAGCUUAAACACCUAAACAUAUACAAACACAUAUAAAUAUGUAUAUAUUAAUUUAAUAAAAUUUUAUGUGCUUAUAAAAUUUUUAAAGAUAGAUGUAAUAUGUGAAGAAAUAAAAAU